GUAAGAUUGAAGACUUCUUGACGAUGUUUAUAAUGUAUCCUAUAAAAUAUUCACUCGCCAGAAUCGUCCAAAGAUCCAGGAGGGACAGAUAUCUACUCCAAACCUGGAAUCUGUUGCAGAAUAUUAAAGAAAAUUAUGGGAAAACAAAUGUGAAUGACGGACAGAUUUAGUAAGAUGAAAGAUUUAAGCCUACGAGCACACUACUAUUUCUCACAUCAAAGGUACAUUGUUAAUUAUGAACAUCAAUAGUAAAUAAAG